UACGUAGGGUGCAAGCGUUGUCCGGAAUUAUUGGGCGUAAAGAGCUCGUAGGCGGUUUGUUGCGUCGGCUGUGAAAUCCCGAGGCUCAACCUCGGGUCUGCAGUCGAUACGAGCAAACUAGAGUGUUGCAGGGGAGACUGGAAUUCCUGGUGUAGCGGUGAAAUGCGCAGAUAUCAGGAGGAACACCGGUGGGCGAAGGCGGGGUCUCUGGGCAACAACUGA
rnacentral:rRNA from 1 species